AUUUGGGUUACCCAGCAAAAGUGUAUGUAUCAGUCUCUGGUUAAAAAUUAUGAAUAGAAUAAAGACUAGUCUCCUUCCUCUGGUUUAUCUACCUGUGUUCAUGCACACAGCCAGGCUAACCUUACCUCUUCCAUUUCUGUUAGGUUCCAAAAGGCUAAGCUGGGUGAAAAAAGUUUGUAGAUCAUGUUGCACUGUAUGUAUUUUAGGUGCUACUAUUUAACAACAAAAGCUGGGAGUUCCCACCAUGACUCAGCAGUAACAAACCGGACUAGUAUCCAUGAGGAUACAGGUUCGAUCCUUGGCCUUGCUCAGUGGGUUAAAGAUCCUGUGUUGCUGUGAGCUGUGGGACUCCACAAAUUCCCUAUUUUUUAUCACAAUGUAUACCUGAAAAAAUGUUACAAAGUUUAGUGUCUGGCAGUUGGGCAACAGACCUGCAUGUUACAGUUGUUCCCUCAGAAACCAAACAUGAAAAAUAGUAUUCCCUGAAUCAAAUUUCUUUUUGGUACUGCCCUCCCCAUGGCCAAGCAGUCCUGUUGGCAAUAAUUUCCCCAGGUGUCUUGGAAUUGCUGGCCUGGGAGCCAGUUGGUUGUUUCUGUGUCCUGCCAUAUUCAGUGUGCCAAGACAUGCCACCUUCUAACAAAGGCAGGGCAGAAAGUCAGCCUCCAAUCUGAACCUGGUUAGUAUCUGAAACAAAGGAUAAAGGGUUAUUGCUUAUCUCCUGCGCUCCCAACUGGGAGGGGUAAGCAUAGCGGCUGCUGCUGCUACCUGCUGACAGCCCAGCACUGCCCGCAGCACUGCAGUAGAAGGACUUUGAGCCAGAAAAGCAGCUAUCUGCCCUGUAUGCCAACCUAAUAUGAAGGUGGGACUACAGAUGCAUGCCAUAUCUUGAAAUAAAUCAGGUAGCUGAUUUGUGAAAAACUGAAUGAGAUAGAUGCAAGGUAGGUUGAUGGCCAUCUAAUGUGCCAAAGUGCGGAUUAAGUGAAAUUUGAGCAGAAAAGGUGGAGCUCUGCACAGUCUUAUUGCCUGUGAAUGCUCAGUGUUCACUCUGAACAGCUGCACCCACUUCAUCACCCAUAACACUAUUACUCUGGUAAUACUGGAAUGCUUAACAGUGACAUGCCUUCAAAGCAGACAUUCUGUUACUGCCUUCUGUAAAAACGUCACCUACAAAGAUAUCUGUUGCAGUCACACAAUAUGUAGGGCAUCUUAGAGACGCUGAAGGUUUUCCAAGCCAAAUAUCACCAGGAAGAUUCUUCCCCAGAGUAAAAGCCACUUCUUCUAGGCAUGUGUUUCUUUUCCCAUUCUCAGCACUUCUCUGGCUGGAAAAACAUGAGAAAACCAUCUGCUGGCUACCUUUCUGGGGUUUUUACAAUUGGCUGGUUUUAUUCUCAUGUGGGUUACCAAAACACAGGCCUUCCUAUAAAACUAGCAUUGUAAGCACUUCAAAUGCUGUUAAGUUGAUAUUUUUUAUAAAUGAAGCUUAUACUCUGUUUUAAAUCUUAAAAUGCAUUUGAAUGGUAUAUACAGUCAUGACUUAUUCAACUAGAAAAAAAAUGGCUAUUUAUAUAUAGAAGUUAUACAUUUCUCUAAAUGUAUUGCACAAUUCAAUUAUAAACAGAACUAGAGAUUCUCUAAAUCUUUAGCCCCAAAUCCCACCUUCCUAGUCAGAAUAUCUAGCAAAUAACUUGAGUCAUGAGACUGCAGGUAGACAGCUGUAUUACUAAAGAACUAACACUAAUCCAAGCAGGUCCCUGUGGAAUAGCGAAUGGCCUCAGAAAUGCCCAGAUGAGGAAGGUCCCUUUGUGACUUAGUGGUAACAAACCCAACUAGGAUCCAUGAGGACUCGGGUUCAAUCCACGGCCUUGCUCAGUGGGUUAAGGAUUUGGCAUUGCUGUGAGCUGCAGUGUAGGUUACAGACACGACACGGAUCUGGCAUUGCUGUGGCUGUGGCAAAGGACAGCAGCUACAGAUCCAAUUCAACCCCUAGCCUGAGAACUUCUAUAUGCCACAGGUGCAGCCCUAAAAAAGCCAAAAAAAAAGGGGGGGGUGGAGAAAGAAAGAAAGAAAAAAGAAGUUUCCGGAUGAGAACCUCUUUACAAAUAUGGAGAAUAAGGACUCAUCUCAAUAAAAGCUCAGAAAGAGGUAUCUUUCUGCUAAAACCACAACAGCUGCAGAAGGAGAGCACACCGCUAUGAGAGAGCCUUUCCUAGAAACCUUUUUGCUCUUGCUGUCUGUUUUUCACCCUUGGAGAGAAGAGGGGAAGAAAACAGACUGUGUUUGCAUUCUUAGUGUACUGGCACAGGUGGGAGCUGUGGGGUAGCCUCAAAACCUGGGAGAGUGAAACAUGACAAGUUUGCAGACAUACUCAAUUGAUUACUAGCUGGAGCUACACCUCGGCUGGCAUGGUUUAGGCACAGAAUAGUAUUGCAAACAUGGAGUUUUGAGGAAGGCCCUUAGGUGAUUUAAUAGACAGGUUAGAAAUAUACAUACGUUGAUCUUAACAGCAGAUAUAGGAGUACAGUCCAGCUUCAAAU
rnacentral:lncRNA from 1 species